GAUAGGCUAAUUAAGAGCGUAUGGGGAAUGCCUUGGCUCUCAGAGGCGAUGAAAGGACGUGAUAAGCUGCGAAAAGCUACGGGGAAUGGCACAUACAUUAUGAUCCGUAGAUACCCGAAUGGGGCAACCCACUAGGUUGAAGACCUAGUAUCCACCUUGGUGGAAGCAAACCCGGAGAACUGAAACAUCUAAGUAUCCGGAGGAGAGAAAACAAUAGUGAUUCCGUUAGUAGUGGCGAGCGAAAGCGGAAUAGCCCAAACCUA
rnacentral:rRNA from 1 species